UACGGAGGGUGCAAGCGUUAAUCGGAAUUACUGGGCGUAAAGCGCGCGCAGGCGGUUAUGUAAGUCUGAUGUUAAAGCCCGGGGCUCAACCUCGGUUCGCAUUGGAAACUGUGUAACUUGAGUGCAGAAGAGGAAAGUGGUAUUCCACGUGUAGCGGUGAAAUGCGUAGAUAUGUGGAGGAACACCAGUGGCGAAGGCGACUUUCUGGUCUGUAACUGACGCUGAGGCGCGAAAGCGUGGGGAGCAAACAGG
rnacentral:rRNA from 1 species